rnacentral:misc_RNA from 1 species
GAUGAAGAACGCAGCGAAAUGCGAUAAGUAAUGUGAAUUGCAGAAUUCAGUGAAUCAUCGAAUCUUUGAACGCACAUUGCGCCCGCUAGUAUUCUGGCGGGCAUGCCUGUCUGAGCGUCAUUUCAACCCUCGCCCCCGGCUUUUGCUGGGAGCGGUGUUGGGGAUCGGCCGCCCGUCACUGGGAGGCCGGCCCCGAAAUAGAGUGGCGACCACGCCGUGUGCUCCUCUGCGUAGUAGUAAAUCACCUCGCAGGCGGACAGCGGUGCGGCCUGCCGUAAAACCCCCAACACUUUCUGGUUGACCUCAGAUCAGGUAGGAAUACCCGCUGAACUUAAGCAUAUCAAUAAGCGGAGGA